rnacentral:rRNA from 1 species
GGGCUCACACAAGCGGUGGAGGAUGUGGCUUAAUUCGAGGCUACGCGAAGAACCUUAUCCUAGUCUUGACAUGUAUGGAUUAACCCUGUGAAAGCAGGGCCACGCCUUCGGGUGGAACAUACACAGGUGCUGCAUGGCUGUCGUCAGCUCGUGUCGUGAGAUGUCGCGUUAAGUCGCUUAACGAGCGAAACCCUUGUCUCUAGUUGCCAGCGCGUAAUGGCGGGGACUCUAGAGAGACCGCCGGCGUUAAGCCGGAGGAAGGUGGGGAUGACGUCAAGUCCUCAUGGCCCUUAUGACUAGGGCUGCACACGUCCUACAAUGGGGAAUACAGACGGACGCUAAGCCGCGAGGUGGUGCUAAUCCUAGAAAGUUUCUCGUAGUCCGGAUUGGAGUCUGCAACUCGACUCCAUGAAGUCGGAAUC